rnacentral:rRNA from 1 species
CCUACGGGGGACAGCAGUCGAGAAUCAUUCACAAUGGGGGAAACCCUGAUGCUGCGACGCCGCGUGGGGGAAUGAAGGUCUUUGGAUUGUAAACCCCUGUUAUGUGGGAGCAAAUUAAAAAGAUAGUACCACAAGAGGAAGAGACGGCUAACUCUGUGCCAGCAGCCGCGGUAAUACAGAGGUCUCAAGCGUUGUUCGGAAUCACUGGGCGGAAAGUGUGCGUAGGCGGUUUCGUAAGUCGGGUGUGAAAGGCGCGGGCUCAACCCGCGGACGGCACAUGAUACUGGGGGACUAGAGUAUUGGAGGGGGAGGCGGAAUGCUCGGUGUAGCAGUGAAAUGCGUAGAGAUCG